ACAGCGACGUCCCCACGAACAGCAGUGGAUUAAGUGACCGAUCCUUAAAAACAUACAUAAGGCAGAGCGGAGGGGUUUAACAGAUGGACAGCUUGCUCUGAGAGCUGUUACGCUCGCGAGGCCCUGGAAGAGGAAGUGCCUCAGACUUCCUCAACGCUCAAGGGUGGAGGCUGCCAUCAAGCAAGAAAGUGAGCGAGUGAGACCAUAGCAGAAGUUGAAGGACGAACACUGAACGCCGGGCUUCGUUAGCGCUCAGAAAGGAAGAUAAAGAGAGACAAGAGAGAGAGAGAGAGAGAAAAGACAAGUGCUCGGUCCCAAGUACCUGGGUGUGUGUGUGUGUGUGUGUCUGUGUGAGGGUGUGUGCAAGAGG